ensembl:lncRNA
AACUCUUGGAUCUGGGUUGCUUGCUGAGGAGUGCUGCACAGUCAGGAGCCUCUUCACCAGCUGGAGAUGUGAGAUAGAUCCCUGGUUGACUCUACUCGCACCCUGCCUGCUUGGACUUAUGCUGGUCGUCAAAAUGAAAAAGCCUGGGGAAACCAGUGAAUUGUGAACGUGAGAGGCAGCUCCUCCAGACUUCUCUGCAAAGAAAUCAGCUGACCCUGGAGCCACAUCAGCCAGCACCACAGCAAAGCAGGAUGUCUCACUGUUGGUGGUUAAUGCAGUCAUACUGGUGCCUCAUUGCUUGUUAUGGUUCAAAUGCUGGUUUGUAGACUACCCAAGGAGUUACAGAUGGGGACACCAGCUACCUGAUCCCUGAAACGCCAAAGUCUUGCUGCAUGUCACGACAGCAGAUGCUGGCAUGGGUUGUACCUUACUAUAGGAGUCUCUUCAGAGCAGUCAUUCUGCAGACAGAUAUCUGCUCCAAAGAACAAUUGAUGGGCAGGUUCUAUGUCUCACAAGCAAAACAGUGCUUUCCCUAACACAAGCAGUCACCUAUUGGCUGUCACAGAGGGAAAAUACCUGCUUAUACUGGGAGGAGUAGAAUUCUGCAUUUUGCCAGAUCCUGCUGGGAAACAGCUGUGUUUAUACUUUGCACAUCUGUCAGAGCAGGCUGCUGAGAUCUCCAGAUCUGAGGACUGUCCCAGCUGAUUUAGCUCCUGGACACCUUUAGCUUCUGUCAUGGAUUCCUGCUUAUGAAUAGAUAAAACAGUGUACUGAAAGCUGCUGGGCAAAACUGUUGUGCUGAAUCCUUGGCAAGUUUCAGAAAGACAAACGUGAUGUUGUCAGACCAUCACCCAGUACAGCUGCAGUCACUCAACAGGCCAAAAGCAAGAUCCUGAUCUUGGGCAUCUCAGAGCACCCUGUAUGGCUGCAAGUAUCUGCCACUUCUAAGCAGAGGCCCUGUAUGACUCCAAAGGUUUCCUGAGCUCAAGCAGUUAUGGAUGCCAGCUGGAGCUCUGAAGAGGUAUUUCUCUGAAUCAGCCUGGCCAAAUGCAAAUAAGUCACAAGCCUGUCUCCCAAGCCCAGCUUUAAGGCAGCCUCCACAAAUCACCAGCCUCUCACCACCGGAGCAUGGCUUGCUUGUCCCUUGCACAGAGCUCAGCACAUAGCCUUUUACUGCUGAAUUUCUGCUAUCAGUCUCUGCCUCUAAAAGCAACUGCAGGUGCAAGCCAGUGUCCCUAGGGCACCAUCAGCUUUGCUGCCAUGAGCAGCCUUACCUGGGGCUCACCCACACCUGCUGGCUCUAAUUAAGAUCAGCCCUGGGCAUCUAGAACCUUCUUAGAGCUGUUGUGCUGCUGCUUCUCUAGACAUGUCUCUUGUAUGGACCUCAGCCAAGCCAAUGAUGUAAGUCUCUUUUCUUUAAGCUUGUCUUUGUCCUGUAGGUGGUAUCUCUGGUUGAUGUGGUUUUGCCUGUGGUCCUAUCUCCUCAGUGGUUGGCCUCUGAUCUCCUGUAUCCCCAUUAACUGGCUUACCUAGCUUUCAUCAAAGCAUUUUGGCACAAAGGUUGUCUUUCUUACUGGUAGUAACCCCCCUGCUUUAGCAAUAAAACGUUGUG